UCUUGGGGUGCCUCCAUGGUGACCAACAGGUCCUAUGUGCUGCUCUAGAACGUCUUGGGGGGUGCUCUAGAACCUCCCGGGGUGCCUCCACGGUGACAUCCGGGUCCUAUCUGGUGCUCUAGAACAUAUCGAGAUGCUCCAGAACAUACUGGGGAUCCACAAUGGUGACGUUCGAGUCCUGUCUGGCGCUCUAGAACAUCUCGGGGUUCCUCAACGAUGAGAGAAGUUCUUCUUGGUUCUUCUCUAGACUCUCAGGGCGCUCUAGAACGUCUUGGGGAUCCACAGCGGCAAUGGAGAAGUCCUACUUGGGGUGCUCCAAAACGUCACGGGGUGCCUCAAUGGAACAUCUUGGGGCGCUCUGGAACAUCUUGGAGUGCUCCAGAACCUCUCAGGGUGCUCUAGAACGUCUUGGAGGUGCCUCAAUAGUGACAGAGAAGACCUAUGUGGUGCUCUACAACAUCUCAAGGUGCUCUAGAACACUCGGGGGUUCCUCAAUGGUGACCAGGUUCUGUGUGGUCCUCCAGAACAUCUCAGGGUGCUCGGGAAUGUCUCGGGGUUCCUCCACGGCAACAGAGAAAUCCUAUCUGAUGCUCUAGAACAUAUUGGGUGCUCCAGAACACCUCAGGGUGCCUCAGUGAAGACAAACAGGUCUGAUCUGGUGCUCUAGAACAGCUUGGGUUGCUCCAGAACCUCUCAGGGCACCUCAGCAUUGACCGAGAACUCCAACUGCUGCUCCAGAACCUCGCGGGUUACUCCGGAACCUCACUCACUGCACGCUCCAGAGCCUCUUAGGUUGCUCUAGAACCUCUGGGGUGCCUCAGCAUAAACGAGAAGUCCAAUUGCCGCUCCAGAACCUCUCAGGUCACUCUAGAACCUCCCAGGGCACCCCAAUUUUGACAGAAAGCUCCCACUUGGUGCUCUAGAACCUCUUGGAGCACUCUAGAACCUCCCGAGGUGCCUCAGCACUGACUGAAAAAUCCAAUUUCUCUUUCAUAACGUCUCAUAGCAGCUCAGUGUUGACAGAAAGGUCCCAUUUGGUGCUCUAGAACACGCUGGAGUGCUCUAGAAUCUCUCUGGGCACUUCCACGUUGACAGGUAAGUCCCACUUGGUGCUCUAGAACCUAUCAGCGCCCCCCCAACUUCAAUAGCGCAAUCCCAUUUGGGGCUCUAAAACAUGCUGGGAUGCUCUAGAACAUCUCAGGGUAAUUGAGCGUUGAUGUUGAACUGCUGCUCCAGAUCCUCUCGGGUCGCUCCAGAACCUCACCCACUGCGCACUCUAGAACACCUUAGAACGCUCUAGAACAUCUCAGGGUACCUCAGCAUUGACUGAGAACCCCAACUGCUGCUCCAGAACCCCUUGGCUCAUUUCAAAAUCUCUCAGGGCACCUCAGCAUGGACAAAGAAGUCCCACUUGGUGCUCUAGAACCUCACGGGUUGCUCUAGAACCUCUCACGGCGCCUCAGCAUCGACGGAAAAAUCCGACUGCCGCUCCAGAACCUCUUGGAGCACCCCAGAACCACCCCGGACUCCCCAAAUCCCACAGAGUAGCCCCCAUCCAACGCUCCAGAACCCUUCGUCGG
ensembl:lncRNA